UACGGGGGGGGGCAAGCGUUGUUCGGAAUUACUGGGCGUAAAGGGUUCGUAGGUGGCCAACUAAGUCAGACGUGAAAUCCCUCAGCUUAACUGGGGAACUGCGUCUGAUACUGGUCUGGCUUGAGUGCAGGAGAGGAACGCGGAAUUCCAGGUGUAGCGGUGAAAUGCGUAGAUAUCUGGAGGAACACCGGUGGCGAAGGCGGCAUCCUGGACCGGUAUUGACGCUGAGGAGCGAAAGCCAGGGGGAGCAAACGGG
rnacentral:rRNA from 1 species